GGGGCCUACGGGAGGCAGCAGUGGGGAAUAUUGCGCAAUGGGGGGAACCCUGACGCAGCCAUGCCGCGUGAAUGAAGAAGGCCUUCGGGUUGUAAAGUUCUUUCGGUAUUGAGGAGGGAGUGUAUGUUAAUAGCAUACAUUAUUGACGUUAAAUACAGAAGAAGCACCGGCUAACUCCGUGCCAGCAGCCGCGGUAAUACGGGGGUGCGAGCGUUAAUCGGAAUAACUGGGCGUAAAGGGCACGCAGGCGGUUAUUU
rnacentral:rRNA from 1 species